rnacentral:rRNA from 1 species
AUGACGACCAUGGUGAUUUCAUACGGAUCGAUCACAUCUAAGAGGGUGGUGGCACCGGCGCCAGCUCCUGUCACCAGUACACUCAUCUCCCCUCCGAUGAACAGGCAAGAUAUAAUAAUCUUUUCGAACAUCAAUUUUCAUCACGUCCAAAUGGAACACAUUUAUCAUAAUUGCUGGAUUAUUCAAGCUAGGGUCAUGUGGAAGGCUCACAUCAAAGAGAAUGGAAUGGGAAACUUGUACCUUCAGUGCAUACUACUCGAUCGACAUGGAACAAAGAUGGAAGCGAUUGCAUACAACAACCAGGCAAUCCGUUUCAACAUCGUUCUAGAAACCGGUAGGACCUAUGAUUUCAAUCGCGUCGGUUUUAACCCCACAGAAAUGCCAGAUGGUCAUUUCUGGUACCUAGCCAUGGACUUUGUCGCCACGCUAAGUUCUACGACCGAGGUUACGAUCUCGGUGCAGCAGAUAACGUCGACAAUUUGCCCACCGUGCUUUCCACAGUUCGCAGAAAUAUUUGAGCUACAGGACAAAACCAUCACGGAUGUGGUUGCUAUCCUUGCCUAUGUUGGUCAGAUAGAAUUUAAGUGGGAUGCAAUAUAUAGGCGCCGCGUCCCUUCUCUCGAGAUUGGCCUCAUGAACUUUCAUGAUCAAUAUUUCGUCUUACGCUGUCGUCUUUCUCCCGUCUCUCCCCCACCAUUUCUUUUUUCACACAAGCCAAGAAAGGUGAUCAUUGGGAACGCUGCGCACGCACCCGAAGAGGGUGCGCCUGCCGCCCAGGAGGAUGUUCCCGGUCCCCAGGAGGAUGUGCCUGCGCCCAUGGAUCUUUUGCCCCCACCAAUGCACGCCGUGGAAGAUGCACUCCAAUACAUAUUUCACAGUAUCAUGGGCAUUCGAGACGAAGAUACAUUAAACUCAAUAUGGAUACGAAGCUCCUGGCCGUACCAGAUCGACAUCACCCUCCGAAUGAUCCAGGACACCCUUUUUUUCAUAAAAAACUUCAUCCCAAAUGCUUCAACCUUGUUGUACUUUCAUUCUCAGUCACAGGCCCUGAGGUACUCCUGGAUGACUCUAGAAGAGCGUAUCACGAUGCUGAUUAACUAUGUUGUGGUCCAGCCUCUUCCUAAAUAUGAUGUGUUCAAGUCUAUAAUUUAUCUACUACCGUUGAAACUUUCGGAUUCGUCGUACGGGUUACUUGUAGUCAACCGGCUGAGGAGGAGGGUUGUCGUGAUGGAUCCAUCCUUCAACACGUUUGAUCCUGAAGAUAGCACACAUAACAUUUUGAUGAGGAAGGAAAUCACACUGCUGAAGGAAGAACUCAACACUGUGUUGCAGACUAGGAUCGCUGAUUGGAACACACAAUUAAUGGAUUGGGAAGAAGAGUCCAUGUCCUGUUCUGCUCGUCGCAAACACUCCGGCUUCUUUGUGCUACAGGAGAUGGCCCACCAGAUUGGUCGUUUACGUAGCAUGGGCUGGAUGAACACUACCGAUCCAAUUCAGCUCAGACAGCAUGUUACGGUCCAGAUGUUAAUGUUCAAAGACAAUGAAGUUGCUGCAAACAUCCCGCCAGAGAUUAGAGCGGCUCUGAGGGUUGAUAUUUACAUCCUUCGGCAGCAGCAUUGCGCCUCGAAUUCUCUGUCCCUCAAAACCCCCACUGGUUUCCAGCGCCUCCAACCACAGCUAACUCUCGCCCCCAGCUCUCAGGUCGCCUACGGCAAAACGAAGAAGGAUGUGGAGGCGGACGUGGGUGUGCAUUUGAUGGAAAAAGGAAACAGAUCUGCACCAUCAACAAUGGUAUAUAUGGUAGAAAACAAGGUUAUAUAUGGUAUAACUAUAUUCAGCCAUGAUCUGCUACCCAGUUAUUCUCCGCAUGUCCUACCUAUAUAUGUUAACCUUGUCUGCCAUCCGUCCUCCCCCUCCUUGCUGUUCGUUCAACCAUCACAACAGCAGACCUGGAGGAAAAUUACCCAAGGAGUACCUUGUGUAAGCAAGGACCAUCUAGAAGGCGAGUUCCUCUAG